UCGAACGAUGAAGCCCUUCGGGGUGGAUUAGUGGCGAACGGGUGAGUAACACGUGGGCAAUCUGCCCUUCACUCUGGGACAAGCCCUGGAAACGGGGUCUAAUACCGGAUAACACUCCUUCCUGCAUGGGAAGGGGUUGAAAGCUCCGGCGGUGAAGGAUGAGCCCGCGGCCUAUCAGCUUGUUGGUGGGGUGAUGGCCUACCAAGGCGACGACGGGUAGCCGGCCUGAGAGGGCGACCGGCCACACUGGGACUGAGACACGGCCCAGACUCCUACGGGAGGCAGCAGUGGGGAAUAUUGCACAAUGGGCGAAAGCCUGAUGCAGCGACGCCGCGUGAGGGAUGACGGCCUUCGGGUUGUAAACCUCUUUCAGCAGGGAAGAAGCGAAAGUGACGGUACCUGCAGAAGAAGCGCCGGCUAACUACGUGCCAGCAGCCGCGGUAAUACGUAGGGCGCAAGCGUUGUCCGGAAUUAUUGGGCGUAAAGAGCUCGUAGGCGGCUUGUCACGUCGGAUGUGAAAGCCCGGGGCUUAACCCCGGGUCUGCAUUCGAUACGGGCUAGCUAGAGUGUGGUAGGGGAGAUCGGAAUUCCUGGUGUAGCGGUGAAAUGCGCAGAUAUCAGGAGGAACACCGGUGGCGAAGGCGGAUCUCUGGGCCAUUACUGACGCUGAGGAGCGAAAGCGUGGGGAGCGAACAGGAU
rnacentral:rRNA from 1 species